AUUUUCAGCCGGUUUGGGGUGUGCCUGCAGUGGCAGCAGCCAUUUUGGAGCAUGUUUGGUGGCCUCCAAAAUGGCUACCACCACCAUAGGCAGGCCCGUUGAGCCCAAAACAGCCCCAAAGGGGCAAAAAACAGCCCCCCAAAAGGCCAAAAUUGACCCGGGGGCUGGUGGGGGAGGGGGACAUCAGGAUACCCCAUGUGGCCACGAGAGCACCCACCCCCGGAGCCCGGCCAUGGCACCUUUCCUACUUCAGUUGAAGCCCAGAAGGUAUAGUCACCAUCGUUCUAAUGGCAACGCUUUCCAGAUGUGAAAUCCUAUAUUACUUCAGCAUCUGCAAGGGGCAGCUCUUUCAUGAGGCAAGAUGAGGCAGUCACCUCAGGUGGUAGAUUACUGGGGUGCCAGCAGGACAGGAAGAUGCCCCCGGCUGCUGCCAUUGGAGCAGGACUUCAGAAUGAUUUGCUCACCUUUGCAAAGCUGGCAGGAAGCAUGAGAGGCUGCUGGCCACCUUUCAUCCUCCCUACCCCCAGCACAACUUUCAAAGCUUUGCAAAAUUAGUUUUGAAACGGGGCUAGCCCACAACAGAAUCGUGGAGAAAGGCAGCAUUUUGUGCCUUGCCUCAGGCCCUGCAAUACCUCCUGCUGCUGCUGCUGCUGCCGCCGCCGCCGCCACCACCACGGGCCACCUCUAUUCUUUGGCAUAAAUAAUGGAUACAUUCCACAAAUUGGUAAGCUUUAAUAGUUUACUAUAUCAUCAUAAUACUGCAGUACUGCAGCAUCACGGCCCUCUGACAUCUUCACUCGGUUUACAUUAUUAAACACCACAUACACAGCAGUUUUCUUGGUUUGUUAUGGAACAUCUUCACCAGAAAAAAAGUAAACAAUUUUCAUGCCUCUGCGAAGUAUUCCAAAUAGUUUGGCACUUUUGAAAGUAAAAGUGGGGGGUGGGGGAGGAGAACACCAACAUCCCCAUAGCGCAUAGUGUAGAGUCUACAUUUAAACCACAAAGCAAGAGACAAAGUGGGUAGCACAUAUUGUGGACCACUCUUCUUUGCCAUUUGCACAACUUGGUGGCUCUGUUCAUAGGUUUUGUUUAUUUUAGAUAAUUACUAUAAAUGAUUCUUUUCAAAAUAAAUGAACAAAGUGCAUUUUGUACUACA